rnacentral:tRNA from 1 species
GCUGGGAUGGUGUAGUUGGUUAUCACGUCUAUCUAACAUAUGUAGUCUUCGCCGACUUCCUCCAUGUGCACAGAAGGUGAGUUCAAGUCUCGGUCCUAGUA